GCCUCCGUAGCUCAGCGGACAGAGCGAGUGACUUCUAAUCACUUGGUCGCAGGUUCGAGUCCUGCCGGGGGCGCCG
rnacentral:tRNA from 1 species